ACUAGGCUGGAUGUGGCUCUGGGCAGCCUGGUCUGGUGGUUGGUGACCCUGAAAGUAAUGGGGGGGAUUUUGAUAGAAGAUGUUAGAGCUACAACAUAACUUUGCUGAAUUGCUAUCCAGUCACAAUUGUUGCAUCUGAUUCUGCAUUACCUCCUGUGAUGAAUGAUAGAGGGCAAUUAGUGGAGGUGUGAAUUAAACUAAACCUUCUGCUUAAGAAAGAAUAUUCAGAUAUGCCUUACUGGGUAGAGAAUGCUGCAUGAUAUAAAGCUUCUUCAAUAAUGUUGUAAGAUUUAGAAUGCAAGGUGUCCUCUGAAGGCUCUAUUUUUUGUUACUUACCUCCCACACAAGGCUGUGUACCUUGAUAAAAUACCGUGUAUCAGUCAUGUCAGUUUCAUUGCCACCAGGCUUGUCUCACAGAGUUUGAGAGCCAUUUAGGAUAAAGCUGCUAGUAAUGUGACUCACCAGCUGAGACUGUGUGGAAUUCAGAGACAGUUCAGUGAAUGCUCUUCCAUCUUGGUGAGGGUUUGGAGAAGCUUUCAGUCAAUGCAAACAGAUUUUCAUUUGUAAGAUAGCCAAGUUAUUUUUGUCUUAAAUUCAAGUGCCAGAAAGCACCACCAAAACCAAAGAAGAGAGCAAAAGGAUCCUCCAAAGCCCUGUAAGACACAACAGUAACAACAGGUUAUUGGCAGCACUGUGACGGAUCUGCUGAGGAACUGGGCACUGAGAAAAUGAAAACGUGUUAGAAAAAUACAUUGUCUCAGAAAAAGUAGCUAGUAUAUUCCAUACAGCGUGAUUCCAGUUGGUGCCUUUCUGGAAGUUUCUGGCAGUUUCUUACAGAUUAUCAGAAGUCUCUUCAUCUAAUUCAGCAUUUUAUACUAUAGCUUAAUUUGAUGUGAUCGUGAGUGUUGUGAUUCAGCAAAUCUAGCCUAACUAAUGUAUUAUCAGAGAAUGAAUUUAAGAUUUUUAAAAAGCAAAUAGUAAUGUUGUUUCCUUAUUAUUUAUUUUUAUCCCUUCUGUACUUUUUUCAGUCUCCUGUCUUUAUCCUCUGUCCCUCUUUUCCCUCCUCUGGCCUUUAUUCUUCUCACAGGGCUCAUAUUUUCACUCCUGUUAUCUUUUAUCCUGCUUUUCCCAGAGUCUUCUUUUCUCCUCCCUAUCUUCCCACUUCAAAUACUUUCUCCCCAGCCUCAUGGAGCAUCAUCACCGCAUGGGGAGCUGUUGCCCAGGAAACAGUAUGAUGUCAUUGCACUAGAGACAAUUGCCAUGGUUACUGAGUUGACUGAGUUAUUGCUGGAGUUCCAGGAAAAAUUCAGUGUGAAAGGUGAAGAAGAGAUUUAAUAAAAACUAGGAGUCAGCUGUUAGAGAUGAAGAAGGAUAUGCAAGAUUGCACUUCACUGAGAGCAAUGUGAAAACGUGUGUAGCUGAUCAUGUUUCAUGUGAGGAGGCAGGAAGGUAGGCCAGCAGGAAACAGCAGCUGUAAGAGAUCAGAUGGCAGCAAGAUAAAACAGAUAAUGGAAGUGAAAAGUAGCAGUCAGUCAGCACUGAGAGGCUCAUAACUGUCAGAUGAUGCUGAGCCUUGAUGUUUCUGAGAUCUAAAGGGACUAUCAAAAGCUAUUGAAGCCCAUGGGAGUUUUUGUUUUCCAACAGUAUGACUUGGAAAUAGAAGCAGUUGAUACGUCUUGAUGCUAAAGUCUUACAGUGCUAUUGAUUUCCCUCUAUGUUUCCAUCUCUGGCUACAAAGAGGAAAACUGGAAGUGUUGCAUCCUUGUAGAACUGAACCUUAGGGGGAAAAAGGUCAUUUUCAGGAGUCUGUUUCGCUUCUUUCAGUAUUGUCAUAACUCUUCUGUAUCUGGAUAUAUUUAUUUUUCCAUUUAACAUAAUUGAACUGAAAAGAACUGGUAUAUGAUACAAAAAGUGCAUUCUAGAUUUCAGCUACAGAUUGUGCAGUCAAUUGGAUGAAUGAAAAUAUUACACUAAUGACUUCUUUUGGUAAAACAUGUUCAUUUUUUAACAAGUGCUGACAUCUCAGAGCGAGAGCCCAGUGCGGUUGAAGAAAGCAGAAGGGGUGUAAUGCUGAUAUUGUAUUUCCAUUGAGCUAAUCCUUGGAGGUUUGGUUUAGGAAGGAGCAGGACAGCUUCAGGAGCUGUUUCAAAUUUUGAUGGAGAACAUCCAUAACUGGGGAUCACUUCCAUUUCCUGCAUUCUGUAGCGGAUUGGGAAUACCAGCUCAUCCUGUUAAUCAGGCUUUCUGGGUGUUUUGAGUUGUCAGAUACCAGGUAAGAUAUGGCUUUUGAAGCCAGCAUAUUCCUAGAUAUUUUCUUUCUUGUGCCUGAGUAGCAGUGCAUUCUUUAGCUGGUAAUCAGCAUCUGUGUUCCCUUCCCUUUAACAAAGGAGACAAGUGUCAAUAACAUUGAGAAUGCUAAUAUCUUCUUAACUACUGCCUUUACUUUAAGCAUGGUUUCAAAUUAAAAGUUCUCUCAACACUAUUUGGACUAUGAUGUCUAAAAUAUCCACAAUAUGUCUACCUCGGGGAUUUAGCAGUGCCAAAAUUAGAAAAGCUGAUUUGUUUCUGUAAGGGUUAGAUGGCUUGAGGAGGAUGAGUAGUUUAACACAACUGUCACUUUGUCUGUCCUUCCAGUUCAUCUUUUCACAAUAGAAUGUGAGGAAACAAACUUUACCGUACCUGUGAAGGUGAAGCAGUUCUUUUUAAUGUGCUGGUAUCAUCAAACACACAUAGAAAUGUAGGUGAUCAAUCCACGCCUAAGUUAAAUUCCCAGAAAUAUCCACACCCAUGAAUAUGUCAUCACUCUAUCAUGCCCUGUCACUCUGAUAUACACAGCAAAAUACCCACAUAAAUGCAGAUGUUAUACGGACUGGUAAGCAUGUAAACUGUGAACUGAAAUAAUACCUGUAUAGAU